rnacentral:rRNA from 1 species
UACGAAGGGGGCUAGCGUUGUUCGGAAUUACUGGGCGUAAAGCGCGCGCAGGCGGUUUCUCAAGUCAGUGGUGAAAGCCCGGAGCUCAACUCCGGAACUGCCAUUGAAACUGUGAAACUUGAGGACGAGAGAGGUGAGUGGAAUUCCCAGUGUAGAGGUGAAAUGCGUAGAUAUCGGGAGGAACACCUGUGGCGAAAGCGGCUCACUGGACCACAACUGACGCUGAUGCGCGAAAGCUAGGGGAGCAAACAGG